rnacentral:lncRNA from 1 species
UAACUCCUCCCGGGGACCCCAAGUCCCCAUCGCUCUCGGGGGUCCCCCUCAUCCGAACCGCCUCGGAGGAGGGCCGCAUCUCACGCGGAGCACCCCUCCACGCCUGUGACCCUGGACUUGCUCUCCCGCCCCCGCCCGGGCCUCAGGGCUCAGGAGGCCGUGAUGAAGCCAGCAGGUGAACUGCACCCUGGAGCCUCCGACGGGGCGGCCACGGGCAGCGAAGAACCCGGAAAAACAGGAGUACCCUUCUGAGGUUAAUCCGCGUUGAUAGAAGCAGGUGUGGUUCAUCUGGAAUCUGUUGGUGUGAACUGCGCGGCGGCGUCCCCCACCAGGCACCACAGGGGGCGCCUCUUGGUAGCAGCCACCGGCCUCUUCUGGGACUCGCCGGAGGGUUUCCACGUCGCCCGCUCCGACGGGGCUGUUCAUCUCCCCUUGAUCUGUGGGACUCCCCGUCCGUCUCAGGUAUGACCCCUUUGUUGGUGAUCUGGGUUGCAGAUAUCCCCUCUGUGUCUGUGGCUUGUCUCGCUGCGUUGUUUAUGGUGCGCUUUUGUCAUGCAGACGUUUCUAAUUUUGCUCUGUCUGGACUUGGCAAUCUUUCUGUUCGUGAUUUGUGCUUUUGGUGUUUAUGUACAAACUCUUUCCCGGUCCAGAAAGCAUAAAAAAGUUUGCUUUGUGCGUUCUGUGCCCUUUCCUGUUGAUCCUGGUACAAGAGCCCCGGCCACAGGGCAGGCUCACGGCAAGGCUGUCAGACAGAAGAAGCCGAUUUCACCAGCUUCCCGGAGGGGCCAGGGGAUGGUCCUGCCUGAGCCUGGGUUCCAUUCUUUGGUCCUCUGUUGCAUUCCAUGGGCCCGGGAGCCUUUUUUGGACAGACGCCGUGGUGUGACUCCAGCUGAGCUGCCCCCUUGGCCAGGGCCACCAGAGGCAGCCCCCUGCCUCCAGAUCAAGAGCCCACCCACCCUCACGGGUGGCCAGGAGCUGGCCCCUGGCCUGUGGGCCGGCCUGGCUGCCUUGGUCAUGGCAGGAAGGAUCCAUCACUGCUGCCUGAUGGAUGAUCUGAGCCGCCUCCUGCCCGCGCCCCGUGCUGUUUCAGCUGCAGAAAAAUGUUUAUCACUCGGCACAGCAGCGACCCUCCCUCCCUGCCUGCCUCCCUCCCUGCCUGCCUCCCUCCCUUGACAGAAUGGAGCCCUGGGCUUCUCCAUGAAGUUCCUGUGUGACCUAGGGCAAGGCACUGCCAUCUCUGAGCCAUCCUCGCUUUCCAUCUCUGUGAAAGGAAAAGGCUUGGACACGGAGCUGCCCCGCCUCUGACUGGACGUCCCUUCCCCACCCAGCGCCAGAGGAUCUUGUGAUCCAAGCAGUUGCAACCUCGCCGGGCUCCUGCGGCUCCCGCCAGUGGACCCAAGAAAAGCCAGGCCUGUCUCCCAUGGCUUGUCUCUGACACAAGACGCCAACGAAGAUCGGCAUUUCUGCAACCUCUGGCUUCCAGGAAGGCUGCCUCCCUCCCCAACUUCCUCUGAUCAUCGUGCGGCUGAGGAACAGAUGGGGAACCAGGUGCACAGAGAGGUAUGGCCACCUUCACGGGGUCACACAGGCUGAGAAAUGAUAUGGUGGGUGAUGCAGAUGAGGGUCCAGGGUGCCUGCCCUGGGGAGCAUGAUGAGCAGAUGGCGGUGCAGCCACACGUGGAGGACUCAGCUCCCAGAGCAAUAAAGGGACACCUACGCCAUGCAUGAGGCUGGGAGACUGUGCAGGGGGAAGAAGUCACUCGCCAGGAGCCCAGGUGUGUGGAAUUCUGGAACAGACUAGAUCUACCCUGGACUAACCUGGACUGGAACUAACAGACUAGAACUAACUAGAACGAAUUCUAGAACUAACCUACGGUGGAAAACAUCAGAAUGGCAGUGGCUUCUGGGGGCCAGAGGUAGGAAGGCACUGGGCAGGGGUAUGCAGCAACAUUUUGGGGGCAUUGUCUUUUUUAUU